ensembl:misc_RNA 7SK 7SK RNA
GGAUGUGAGGGCAACCUGACUGCGACAUCUGUUACCUGAUUGAUCACCAGGGUUGAUCAGCAUAGCUGGCUGGCUAGGCUUGUGUCCCCUUCCUUCCUCACCACUCCAGGUGCGUCCCUCCCAAAGCUGAGCGCUUGGUUGAAGAGGAUGACCUUCCCCAGUAGAGGAGGACCCUUGUUCCAUCAAGGAUAUACAAGUAGCUGCCCUCCCCUGCUAGAACCUCCAAACAGGCUCUCAAUAAACAUUUGUUAGGAAUGUUGAAUAAAUAAAUAAAUGAAAGCAGUAAAUCCUCAUGAAAUUUAGAGUGUAUAACUGUGG